CCACUGCCGCGGGUGGCUCAACGGGAACAAGCUUCUCAUAAGUAGAGGAAGCACUGGUUCCACAUCCCGUGCUCGUUUGAAUCCAUUGGAACACUACGGGAUGGAACAGCCGUCAUGUUCCGUUUGCAUGAAGCCAAUGCAAACGUCGGACACGUAACAAGCGGAAUCGGCUGGACAAAGCAUAGGGAUACAACAAAAGCCCCAGCGAUUCCGCAGUGUUCAGUGGUUUACCAGGGAAAAGCAAGCCAUGGAACGCAUUCGAAACCCUCGCUCGCUCUUGCGCAGUCUCUCCCUCUCGCCCCCACUUCCGCGAUUCCUCUCCCCUUUGCUUUCCCUUUGGACGGGCUUCGCACCCCCACGGCCCUCUCCUACUCCUUCGGGGUGGAUUGUUGUCGACCCAAACUGACUGCCGGCGGCCACCUAGACCAGCCAUCACUCCCUUUUAUGAGGCACACCUGUCUCCCUCGGAACACGAUGUGGCGACGGCCCUCUCUACCCCUAGACAGGCCGGUCUCGAACAAGACAUAACAACAUCCACCUCGGAGGGCCUUUGCAAGCAUCUCCUUCAACUCUAUUGCAAGAAUGCUUGAACUUCAAUUCCCUUUUAACACUAUUUCCCUGAGAUAAGAAGCAAAGUAUCAGAUUAGGCCUUCCUCCUCUCUCAAUCCAUUCUUCUUCCGAAUACUUUCAUUUCUUGUCUUAAAUUAGGUUCUUGGGCUUUAAAGUGCAGAUUCUUUUGUUAGAUUCCCACUUUUCGAUCGCUCCGUCUGCUAUGUUGCUGCUUGCUCCUUUGUCGCUGCUUAUUCUGGUCACAAAAAUCUUGUCCUAUGAUCGUUAGCUCCUAAUAAAGAUGAUGUACUGUUGGGACACAUCGCCUCUGAACUUGAUAAAGAUGGUGGCAUCCGAUCAACAAGAGGUUUUACAAUAGGCCAAGCUUUGAGAUCAAUGUGCAUAAAUUAGUUACAAUUAUGUGUAAGUUUUAUGUCUGAACAUGUUAUUAAAAUUUUUAAUGAAUUUUUAUUCACGAGCCGAGUCGACCGGAGCUUGGACAGCUCAAGCUCGACUCGGCUCAAAAAGCUCAAACUUGAGCAUGGCUUGAAUUCGAGCCGAGCGCCUUAUAGCAAGCUCGAGCUCGACUCAACUGUUCGGGCUCAAACUCGACUUGUUUAGUGUUAAUUCUGUCCAAA